UACGUAGGUGGCAAGCGUUAUCCGGAAUUAUUGGGCGUAAAGCGCGCGCAGGCGGUUUCUUAAGUCUGAUGUGAAAGCCCACGGCUCAACCGUGGAGGGUCAUUGGAAACUGGGGAACUUGAGUGCAGAAGAGAAAAGCGGAAUUCCACGUGUAGCGGUGAAAUGCGUAGAGAUGUGGAGGAACACCAGUGGCGAAGGCGGCUUUUUGGUCUGUAACUGACGCUGAGGCGCGAAAGCGUGGGAGCAACAGG
rnacentral:rRNA from 1 species